UGGGGAAUUUUGGCCAAUGGGCGCAAGCCUGAUCCAGCCAUGCCGCGUGAGUGAUGAAGGCCCUAGGGUUGUAAAGCUCUUUCACCGGUGAAGAUAAUGACGGUAACCGGAGAAGAAGCCCCGGCUAACUUCGUGCCAGCAGCCGCGGUAAUACGAAGGGGGCUAGCGUUGUUCGGAUUUACUGGGCGUAAAGCGCACGUAGGCGGACUUUUAAGUCAGGGGUGAAAUCCCGGGGCUCAACCCCGGAACUGCCUUUGAUACUGGAAGUCUUGAGUAUGGUAGAGGUGAGUGGAAUUCCGAGUGUAGAGUUGAAAUUCGUAAAUAUUCGGAGGAACACCAGUGGCAAAGGCGGCUCACUGGACCAUAACUGACGCUGAGGUGCGAAAGCGUGGGGAGCAAACAGG
rnacentral:rRNA from 1 species